rnacentral:lncRNA from 12 species
GGGGUGGGAAGAGAGGGAGGGAGGAGAAAGGACGGAAACAUGAAUAUAUUGUCUUCAUUGGGAGCUUAAGUGAGCUGAAUGCCAGGGCCAGGAGCAGGGGAGCCUUCAUGGACAGAGAGAGAAAGAGAGCAAGCAUGCACAAGCGAGGGGAGUGACAGGCAGAGUCCUGGCGUCAUGACCUGAGCUGAAGGGCGAUGCUUCACUCCUUAACUACCCCCCAGUUAUACCCCCUGCUAGUGCCCACAUACCUAGCACCUUCUCAGCAUAGAAGAUGUUCCUGAAGCUGAUUU